rnacentral:rRNA from 1 species
CCUACGGGAGGCAGCAGUGAGGAAUCUUCCGCAAUGGGCGAAAGCCUGACGGAGCAAUACCGCGUGAGGGAUGACGGCCUAUGGGUUGUAAACCUCUUUUUUCAGGGAGGAAUCAAUGACGUGUACCUGAAGAAUAAGCAUCGGCUAACUCCGUGCCAGCAGCCGCGGUAAGACGGAGGAUGCAAGCGUUAUCCGGAUUAAUUGGGCGUAAAGCGUCUGUAGGUGGUUUAUCAAGUUUUUUGUCAAAGAUCGGGGCUUAACUCCGGGCAGGCAGAGAAAACUAGUAGACUUGAGUUCGGUAGGGGCAGAGGGAAUUCCCGGUGGAGCGGUGAAAUGCGUAGAGAUCGGGAGGAACACCAAAGGCGAAGGCACUCUGCUGGGCCGCAACUGACACUGAGAGACGAAAGCGAGGGUAGCAAAUGGGAUUAGAUACCCCAGUAGUCCUCGCCGUAAACGAUGGAUACUAGGUGUUGGAUGAGUUCAAUCAUUCAGUACCGUAGCUAACGCGUGAAGUAUCCCGCCUGGGGAGUACGCUCGCAAGAGUGAAACUCAAAGGAAUUGACGG